rnacentral:rRNA from 1 species
CCUGCCGACAACACUGGGAUAGCCUUUCGAAAGAAAGAUUAAUACCGGAUGGCAUAGUCUUCCCGCAUGGGAUGAUUAUUAAAGAAUUUCGGUUGUCGAUGGGGAUGCGUUCCAUUAGGCAGUUGGCGGGGUAACGGCCCACCAAACCUACGAUGGAUAGGGGUUCUGAGAGGAAGGUCCCCCACAUUGGAACUGAGACACGGUCCAAACUCCUACGGGAGGCAGCAGUGAGGAAUAUUGGUCAAUGGACGAGAGUCUGAACCAGCCAAGUAGCGUGAAGGAUGACUGCCCUAUGGGUUGUAAACUUCUUUUAUACGGGAAUAAAGUUAGCCACGUGUGGUUUUUUGUAUGUACCGUAUGAAUAAGGAUCGGCUAACUCCGUGCCAGCAGCCGCGGUAAUACGGAGGAUCCGAGCGUUAUCCGGAUUUAUUGGGUUUAAAGGGAGCGUAGGCGGGUUGUUAAGUCAGUUGUGAAAGUUUGCGGCUCAACCGUAAAAUUGCAGUUGAUACUGGCGACCUUGAGUGCAACAGAGGUAGGCGGAAUUCGUGGUGUAGCGGUGAAAUGCUUAGAUAUCACGAAGAACUCCGAUUGCGAAGGCAGCUUACUGGAUUGUAACUGACGCUGAUGCUCGAAAGUGUGGGUAUCAAACAGGAUUAGAUACCCUGGUAGUCCACACAGUAAACGAUGAAUACUCGCUGUUGGCGAUAUACGGUCAGCGGCCAAG